GGAGAGAUGGCCGAGUGGCUGAAGGCGCUUGCCUGCUAAGCAAGUAUGGGAUUUUAUCUCAUCGAGGGUUCGAACCCCUCUCUCUCCGCCA
rnacentral:tRNA from 1 species